rnacentral:rRNA from 1 species
CAGGUAUUGGCCUAGUAACGGCGAGUGAGCGGCAACAGCUCAAAUUUGAAAUCUGGCUCUCGGGCCCGAGUUGUAAUUUGUAGAGGAUGCUUUUGAUGCGGUGCCUUCCGAGUUCCCUGGAACGGGACGCCAUAGAGGGUGAGAGCCCCGUCUGGUUGGAUGCCAAAUCUCUGUAAAGCUCCUUCAACGAGUCGAGUAGUUUGGGAAUGCUGCUCUAAAUGGGAGGUAUAUGUCUUCUAAAGCUAAAUACCGGCCAGAGACCGAUAGCGCACAAGUAGAGUGAUCGAAAGAUGAAAAGCACUUUGAAAAGAGAGUUAAAAAGUACGUGAAAUUGUUGAAAGGGAAGCGUUUAUGACCAGACUUGGGCUUGGUUAAUCAUCUGGGGUUCUCCCCAGUGCACUUUUCCAGUCCAGGCCAGCAUCAGUUUUCCCCGGGGGAUAAAGGCGGCGGGAAUGUGGCUCUCUUCGGGGAGUGUUAUAGCCCGCCGUGUAAUACCCUGGGGGGGACUGAGGUUCGCGCAUCUGCAAGGAUGCUGGCGUAAUGGUCAUCAACGACCCGUCUUGAAACACGGGACACCAAAAA